rnacentral:rRNA from 1 species
GGGAGUAACUAUUGGAAACGAUAGCUAAUACCGCAUAACAGUAGAUAUCGCAUGAUAUUUGCUUGAAAGGUGCAAUUGCACCACUACCAGAUGGACCUGCGUUGUAUUAGCUAGUUGGUGAGGUAACGGCUCACCAAGGCAACGAUACAUAGCCGACCUGAGAGGGUGAUCGACCACACUGGGACUGAGACACGGCCCAG